rnacentral:tRNA from 1 species
GGCCCCUUGGCGGAAUGGCAGACGCAGUGGAUUUAAAAUCCGCGGCCCUUACGGGCGUCCCGGUUCGAGCCCGGGAGGGGCUA